rnacentral:rRNA from 1 species
UACGUAGGGUGCAAGCGUUGUCCGGAAUCAUUGGGCGUAAAGAGCGUGUAGGCGGUCCGGUAAGUCGGCUGUGAAAGUCCAGGGCUCAACCCUGGGAUGCCGGUCGAUACUGCCGGACUAGAGUUCGGAAGAGGCGAGUGGAAUUCCCGGUGUAGCGGUGGAAUGCGCAGAUAUCAGGAGGAACACCAAUAGCGAAGGCAGCUCGCUGGGACGGUAUUGACGCUAAGGCGCGAAAGCGUGGGGAGCAAACAGG